ACCAUCGAUCACAGAUUCACCGAUUCACCAUGGCAACGAGAGCAGCGUACUUUUCCCCGUCGGAGGCAGAAAUUCUCAUGGAGGCUUACGAAGAGGUAAAGGAUCAAAUCAUAAAGAAAGGCAACACCGCCACAGUAAUAAAACAACGAGAGAAAAUGUGGCAAAGUUGCAGACGGCCUGAAUGCGUAAGUAGUGCACAAAUACACACUCACUGCUCCGCUGAAACCAUCACAGUUACAAUCCAAAUAGUUAAUUAACAUCUCUGAAAACGCAGUUGUACUCUGAUUAUGAAUCAGUUGAAAUUGUAAGUGAAAUUGACUGCAGAUGUGAGUGAAAUUGUGUAAAUGUAACUCCAUCAGACUGUAUAACUCUUUGAUAAAUACAUGAGCUCACUGACUUAAUUGAUAAAUAAAGUUCCUCUUAACUUAUCUUAUCUUGUGUUUGCUCCUCGUGCUCCAUGUGUAUGCUGAUUGAUCAUAAGAAUAUUGUUACGGUCUCCGGACCUUAGUACAUUUAUUUGUGUUUAAUGUGUGUGUUUAAUGUGUGUGUUUAAUGUGCUGUGCACGUCAGUAUGGGAAUUAUUCGGCCAGCACUUGUCAUUCAUUUAUGUGUGUAUCUAACUGUCUGCUCUUCUGGAGGGAAUCCCCGGCGGACCACGCCUCCAGCCCGCUCUCCUCUGCUGCUGUUCAGUGUUCCCCCGCUUGCUGGUCGGCCGGCCCCCUCGCUGUCGUCAUCGGUUCCGGCCAAUCACCGCUUCACCAGCCCCUCGUCUGAACCUUUAAAAGCUGCACUGAGUCAAAAGCCAGGGCGGCUGUGAUUUAACAUGGUCUGCAAUGCUGACUAUCUGAUCAGCAAUGUUGUGGCAAAGUGGCCUGGCCCGGUCCGUGACUCCGAGUCUUUCGGACCUCUGGAAUCUAUCAGUGCCUAUCACAAGGUGAAUUCUCUGGUGUGUUGCUGGGGGCCUUUUCUCCUCACACCAUACACAGACCCUCAGGAAGCACAGCAGGCCUAUAAUCAUGCCCAUGCCAGGACAAGGGCCAGGACUGAAAUGACCUUUGGCCUCCUGAAGGCACGCUUUCACUGUGUGAACCACUUAAGGGUCAGCCCUUUGAGGGCAUGUGACAUCACUGUGGCCUGUGCUGUGCUCCACAAUGUGGCCUGUCUGAGGAAGGAGAGAGCCCCCAGAGUGCCAUCACACAUGACUGGGACAAUCCUGCCAUCUUCCCUGAUGACGACAGUGGUCGGCUGGUCAGGGACCAAUAUGUGUUAAAUUACUUUAGCUAACAUGCAUGCUUUAAAUUUCAGUUAAAUAUGUCCUACAGUGGCAGAGGAAUUUGUGUUUUUUUUAUUCAGUUUAAACUGAUUUGGCCUCUUAUGUUGUUUGUGCUGUAUACUGUGUGUAUACAAGCUUGCAGAGAGGCUACUGCAUCCAUUCAUUUGUCUGUUCAUUUGU